GUGGUGCUUAUAUGUAAAUGCAAGGAUGGUAGUCUAGGAGAAAAAGGAAUUUUAGUAGUAGUGAGGGGUUAAACCUGUUUCAUACAAAUGUUAGGUGGUGCUUCUAUGUAAAUGCAAGGAUGGUAGUCUAGGAGAAAAAUGAAUUUUAUUAGUAGUGAGGGGUUAAAACCUGUUUCAUACAAAUGUUAGGUGGUGCUUCUAUGUAAAUGCAAGGAUGGUAGUCUAGGAGAAAAAUGAAUUUUAUUAGUAGUGAGGGGUUAAAACCUGUUUCAUACAAAUGUUAGGUGGUGCUUCUAUGUAAAUGCAAGGAUGGUAGUCUAGGAGAAAAAUGAAUUUUAGUAGUAGUGAGGGGUUAAAACCUGUUUCAUACAAAUGUUAGGUGGUGCUUAUAUGUAAAUGCAAGGAUGGUAGUCUAGGAGAAAAAGGAAUUUUAUUAGUAGUGAGGGGUUAAAACCUGUUUCAUACAAAUGUUAGGUGGUGCUUAUAUGUAAAUGCAAGGAUGGUAGUCUAGGAGAAAAAGGAAUUUUAUU
ensembl:lncRNA